GUCUCUACAUUUAUGCUGUUUAAUUGAUUUAAGCAAACAAUUUUAUAGCAAUUGAAAUAAAAUGCACUGUAGGUGUCUGAUAAAAUGUCCAUGAGGAACCUUGUGAUAGUUACAAUAGAACUAUGUGAAUCACUAUGUAACUUAUUGGUUUUUUCCCCUUAUAUCUCCAUUGUUGAUAGUUUAUAAAUACCUCAUAACAGCCCAAGUUUUGCGACUCCAAAAUUAAUGCAACUCAAGCAGCUCUAGUGGAUCACUAGAGGUGAUGCAAUGGCAAAAAUGUAUAUAGGAUUUUGGAGGUGUUUGCUUCACUUCUUUAUUAUUUUUUUAUCUUACAGCUGAGAUAGGUGUGGAAAGGUAUUCAUUGUGCUAUUGUUCAUUUUCGUUUUAGAUAUUUCUAACCCUUUUUGCACUGGGUUUUUAUUUUUCAUAAAUUGUGUUUCUGCAAAGUUCCUGGCCACUGCAUUUUUUCCUUUAUUUUCAGGUCCUGUUUUUCCUUGGUUCAAUAUUCAACAUGGUAUUUUUUUUUUUUAAUCUGAUUUGAAGUUGAUAUAGUCCAGACCAAUUUUUUUUUUGAUUGGAUAGUCCUGACCAAUUUGAAGAAAAUGAUGUAAUGUGGUUUUUUGUAUAAAACCUUUUGUUGAUUUUUUCCUGAUUUGGUUGGUUUGUUUCUUAGGCUGAGUAUGUGAACCUUGAUACACUGUGGGUUACUCAUCCUUAAGUGGAUUUUUCACACGAUAUAUUUAAUUUUCGUAUAUGUUUGUGUGCAUAAUGAUCUGUGUUAGUUUUUGUGUAGCUUGGGAUUCAAACACACUUUUACAUGGAUAGGUCGAUUUCCUGUUUCUUGUGUAGCUUGUGACCCUUCUAAUAUUAUUUGAGGUUCUGUGCUUAAAGCUUUUGGAGGCAAAAUUUGCCUUUUCUUACAUUGCAUUUAAGUAUGCAGACAGCUUUGACUUGUUUACCUGUUCAAUUUCUUGUUUUUUUGUCUCUUCACUUUAUAUGAGCUUUGACAAUUUAGUUGCACAAUCUUUGGUCUUUUGUACAGUGUUUAAAAAGAUUGAAGCUUGAACAUCAAUUCAUUUGAUUCAUGUGAUCAAUCAAUAAAAUGUUUUGUUGAUGCUGAAAUUAAAUGUUUAGUUUUACAAAACAAUUGAAAACUUUUAAUGUGUAAACAUAAUAUUUUUAUUUCUAAUCAAUUAUGUCAUCUUCCUCCAAGGAAUAUGUCAGCUUGGUCUGACUGAAGUAAUCCAGAGUUGCUUAAAACAUUUUUGUAAUAUGUGUUAUCAAAUGUGUUUGUAGUGACAGGUUCUAACGGAGCCAAAUUGGUGUCGGAAUCGGCUUGAUUUGGACAUAUUUUCUGUAAAUUUUGUAGAAGGGAUUAAUCAAGUGAUGGAUCAGAUUUUCCAGAGCUACCAAAAUCAAAGAGCCUGUUCUUGAAUGUAAAGCAAUGAUCAAAGUUGUAUCAUUGUUUAGAGUCAUAAGUUUUCACAGGUUUAGUGCAGGUUAAGCAAAAAUCAGAUACCUUAUAUAAUUUUGAUGGUGGCUAUAUGUCACAUACCUUAUACAAUUUUGAUGGUUGAUUCUAUCGGAUUGACCUUUCCUUUAACCUUUUUAUAAUAAAACGUGUGGAGAUUGAUUCAAAUCAUGAUUAACCACUUACUGAGAUUGAAAGCUGAGAGAUUGAUCUUGAUAUUGGUUUUUUGUUGGUUUUUUUGUGGCAAUGAAAUGAGUUUUGUGUUAACAUGGUGAUGAUGGAAUUGCAUGAGUGUUAACAUUGGUUUUUUGAUAUUAUUCAUCAUGUUAUUAGCAUGAAGGAACGUUGUACUGAUAUAAUUUUUUCCUUCCUGUGGCAUACCUUGUGCUGCUAGGUGUAACUCUACCUAAGUAUAAGGCCUACUACUUAUAUGAGGUUAUCACUUAAUAUUUGUGAGAGUUCUAUCACCCCAUGUUAUUACUUAUAAAGUCAAUUUAAGUUUCUUUUUGCAACACCAAGAAGCUUCAUUUCUAAGUUUUUCUACCGAGUUAUUUUUGUGUAGGUGUUUAGCAUUACAUGUUUUUAGUAAGAGAGCCAAUGAUUUUGUGAAUGAAGUAUCAUAAAACGCACAAUAACCAAGCUAAGAGAUGUACACCAAAAUCAUAUAUAUUCAGCUCCUUAUGAGUCAUUUCAAAAUAAAUUGGGAUUCUUGUCAUUUUUCUUUGUUAAACUAUGUAGGAAUAAUGUUUUCAUUGUAAGUUUAUAUCCCACACAUGCUUUUGAAAUUCAAUUGUAGUUUGGUUUGAUUAAACUGUUGCUCAGGUUACAUGAAAAGAUUAAAAUUAUCUAAAGAUUUUAACCAUUCCACCAUCUAGUGAAUAACUUGAGUUGUAUAAUUACUUAAACUGCCUUGGGUCUAGGCUGGACUGAGUUUUGUGAAGAAAAUGAAUUUUGCGCCGGAGAUGCUCUUUGUUUUAAGUUUAAUAUCUUGUCUCGUCCAUCUUUUGCUCGCUCGCGUUUUUAAAAUAUGACGGUGUUUGUUUGUAUUUAUACUGGUGACAAUUUAGGGCCGGAUUUGUCUCCUAAAUGUAGAUACUUGAAUGUAUGUCUUAAGUUAAAAAACCUUGUCAUGUUCUGGAAAGUAUUUUGUUGUGGUUGUGUUCUGGAAUAUCCCGUGACUAAACCUGGUUAAUUUAACUGCUUA